GUUUUUACCUCAGCUGCCCUCUGUCACUUCUUUCAGGCAGCUAGCCAAGUUGUAGGAGGAGAGCCAUGCUAAUUUUAAUGUUUUGUUUUAAGCCUUAUAAACAACUGAAAGUGUUUCUUCAGAAAGAAACUGGGCUCGGGUCCAGCUCCCGCCAACACCACUGCAUCCCACGGUCUCUCGAGUCUGAUCCUGCUUGCUACUCCACGGGCAGAGGCCGUUGUCAGGAGCUUCUUUUCGGCAGAGUUCCUGGAUUAGAAUCUGCUCAGCUCAUCACACGUUUCUGCAUCAUGGAGGAGACGGUAGAAAUGGAGCGUCCGCAAAGCCAGUGCCAGCCUUGGAGGAGCAGCUGGAUGGCUGCUUACAUUCCAUGUGGAUCUUCCUACCUCAGAAAAUCCCUCACAGAUGCGGCCAGAGAUUGGUCCUCUUGACACGGGCUGUGGCCAUGUCCUCACCCAGGAUCUUAGCUUCAGUCUGCCAGAUUGCAUGGUGCUAACCCUGCAGAGGCCUGCACCUUCCCUCCUGUGUCCGAGACAGAUGCCGCCUUCUCCCAGGAGACCUUCCUAGUGGUCCUGUUUCAAAGUGUAUACCUCCUUUUUGAUUCUUUCUUGUCUUCAAAAAUGGUCACAAUCAUUAAAGUUUUUACCU